UAACGAGGAUUCCCUUAGUAACUGCGAGUGAAGCGGGAAGAGCUCAAAUUUGUAAUCUGGCGGUCUCUGGCCGUCCGAGUUGUAAUCUGUAGAGGCGUCGUCCGCGUCGGCCUGUGUACAAGUCUCCUGGAAUGGAGCAUCAUAGAGGGUGAGAAUCCCGUCUGUGACACAGACCACCGAUGCUCUGUGAGGUGCCCUCGAAGAGUCGCGUUGUUUGGGAAUGCAGCGCAAAAUGGGUGGUAAAUUCCAUCUAAGGCUAAAUACUGGCGAGAGACCGAUAGCGAACAAGUACCGUGAGGGAAAGAUGAAAAGCACUUUGGAAAGAGAGUUAAAGAGUACGUGAAAUUGUUGAAAGGGAAACGCUUGAAGUCAGUCGCGUCCCGUGGCACUCAGCCUUGCUUCGGCUUGGUGUACUUGCUUUGGGAUGGGUCAACGUCAAUUUUGGCCGGUGGACAAGGGUGGGGGGAAGGUGGCAUCGUUUCGGCGAUGUGUUAUAGCCCCUCGUCAAAUACGCGGGCCGGGAUUGAGGAUCGCAGCACGCCCUUGUGGCCGAGGGUUUUGCCCUACGUAACGUGCUUAGGAUGUUGGCAUAAUGGCUUUAAGUGACCCGUCUUGAAACACGGACCAAGGAGUCUAACAUGCUUGCGAGUGUUUGGGUGGAAAACUCUUGCGCGUAAUGAAAGUGAAAGUUGGGAGCCUCCGUGAGGGGGUGCACCGACGCCCGGCCCUGACGUUCUCUGACGGUGCUGCGGUAGAGCAAGCAUGUUGGGACCCGAAAGAUGGUGAACUAUGCCUGAAUAGGGUGAAGCCAGAGGAAACUCUGGUGGAGGCUCGUAGCGAUUCUGACGUGCAAAUCGAUCGUCGAAUUUGGG
rnacentral:rRNA from 1 species